GGUCUCACUAUGUGGUUGAGACUGACCUGGAACUCACUAUGUAGCCCAGGCUGGUCUUUAGCUCAUGGCAAUCCUCCUGCCUCAGCCUCCUGAGUGCUGGGAUUACAGACAUGCGCCACCA
rnacentral:miRNA from 1 species